GUCGAGAAGGAUCUGUCUCACAGAGCUGAUGUCGCCCCUUUGUGCCGCUAGGUGCAACUCCAUCAACACGGAGAGAGAAAGAGAGAAAUUGUUAGUGUUGGAUAAGUGAAUAAGAAAGAGAGAGUGGGAAGGUGUGAAAUAUUUUUCCAAUAAAAGAAAUAGUGAGGAGGUGUAGGAGCACUUAGGGUGGUGGAGGGAGCAACACCCCUAGAGGUGUCAACCUGACCC
rnacentral:lncRNA from 1 species